GUGUUUUAUAAACUGGAAACUACGACAAAGCUAUAGCGGUUCACGAAAAGCUCUAGGAAAUUCAAAA